CAGAUAGACAGACAGUGGAGCUCUAUGUUUCCAGAGAAGAAGAGGGCACACAGGCAGCAGCUGCGACAGGCUCUGCUGCACAGAGUGAACAUGCAGCCAUUAGCAACCACAUAACAGGGCUCCUCCACACUGAUCCCAGAACUGAAGAAACGAGCAAGGGAGACAUCCAACAGGAAGUGCUCCCGGAGGACAGGCCCCACAGUGACAGCUAGCCCUGCAGAAACACAUGCACGUUUCUGCUUUACCGAAAGAGUCCAACCCUCCUGUGCAGAAUGAGUGUGCGUGUUGACAGUCUGUCUGGGUGUAGGGCAGCAGAGACGCCCAGUUCAUCAGAUCCUGUAUGGCGGUAGGUGGUAACAGAUCAGGACUCUGCAGGAGCCUUCCUGCCAGAAGCAGGCAGAAUGGGCAGCCAUAAAAAUGAGAAGAAAAAUCCAAAUGAGUCCUGAAGCCAGCAAGCUCCCUCCCGGUUAGUGUCCAGGAGAAGGAAAAAAGAAGACAACAUGAAGAGGAAGAGGAGGAGGAAGAAAGGGACAUCUAUCAUCCCAACUAACUACGUGGGAGUUUGGAGGCAGGAGGCUGCAAGUUCAAGGCCAGCCUGGACAACUUAACAAAUUCCUGGUUCAACAUUAAGAAACACCUAUUAAUAAAGUUCAAGUAAAUUUAAAAUAGUUGCAUGUGAGUUUUUAAUCAUGUUUUUUGUUGGCCAGCAGGGCACACACUUAAGUAAAGCACGAGCUUUAAUUAUACUUCUCCAUCUCUGCUCUUUCUUGUUUAUGUAAGUUGUACAAUGUGUUCUUCAGAAAUGAUUUCUAAAUUACCUCAUAAAUAAUUCUCAACAGAUGUUCUCUCCUUCCUGUUGGUGUUUCUAGUUUGCUUUGACACUGGAUUCAAUCUAGAUGCCAAGGCCACAACGGAGCCAGACUGGAGGACACGGGCUGAUUUUUACUACUGCAUUUACAAAGUGACUGUAGAGCAUCGGGGCUGACUGCAGUCAUAGCAAGGCUUCCCUCUGCGCAAGCUCUG
rnacentral:lncRNA from 1 species